GCUUUUUCUGCAUCUAGGGAGAUAGUUGUUUAAUUUUUUUUCCACGACCAUCUCCUUAGAUGCAGAAAAAGC
rnacentral:miRNA from 1 species